CCAAAACCUCAAAUACAUCAUUAACGGCACCGAUAGUAUAAAGUUGGAUAAAAAAUAAGAAAAAAAUACACACCAAAAGGCAUCUAGUGCCCAUGAAUUUAAUUUUAAAUACAAUUAUUGUAGAGAGGAAAUGAAAAAAAGAAAUAAAAAACUAAAAUUCAUAUUGUUUAUUUAUGACCAUAUCAAUUAUUAAAAAAAUAGAUAAUUAUUUUCAUUGAAA
rnacentral:lncRNA from 1 species